rnacentral:rRNA from 1 species
CACGUACCCAUCCCGAACACGACCGUUAAGCCCUCUAGCGCCGAUGGUACUUGGACCGCAGGGUCCUGGGAGAGUAGGACGCCGCCAAGC